AGUAAAGAAUCUCUAUUUAGCCAAAAACAAUACUGUAGUGCAAAGUUACAAAUUCACAACUACAAAAUAAUGAUCACAAUAACAUUAAAAUUACAAAUCAGUCACACUGGACAUUUAGAUACACAUAAUAUGUAAUCGUGUUCGCAGUAGUAUCAUUGUUCCUAUCCAAGUGGAGUAACCCAUCUAAACAAAACCCAACUGUCUUCUGUUCUCUCUCAAUUAUCUGCAAAAGAAUAGCUAAAAAAAUUAUGAGAACUAUCUACAUGAGGCAUAAAUUAUGGGAAACAUUCAUACAAACCCUUUAUUAAAAUGACACUAAUUAGCUCACCCGCAAUAAAUGAGAAGUACAAGGAACAAUAUACAGCAACAUUGCAUUUGUCAGUCAACAUGGACAUUUUAGCAGCAGGCAGAAAAAGAUUUGGCAUGCAAAAAGAACACAUAGGCACAUCUUAGUAUCACAAAGAAAUAAAUCAAAUAUAAAUAUUAAUAAUGAGAUGGUUGGUGGAAUAUCUAUCCUGGAAAAUUAGAGCAUCAAUCAGUUACUAUAUGUGGCUAGAACAAAUCUUUACUAAGAUCGUUGAAAUAAAUGUCCUACUGAAACAAAGAAACAUGACAUAUUAUUAAACAUGUAUAUUUCAGAAAGAGAAAUAUAUACUUUGGUGCUCUAAGUUUAUUAGUUCUAUGGUAACUGUUGAAUUACAGAACAAGGGCAGAAAUGUACGCGAAUGAGUGCCAGAUUUAAAGCUUUCACAUGCUCAGCUCCAUUCACAUGGAUAAUAAAAAAGGUUUGCAGAGAAAUGCACUUCUAAAGGACAGGCAGAAAAAUUGAUAAUAUUGCAAAUUACAUUAAGAUAAGUAACUGAAUAUACACUUCUUGCAUAUAUAAGAGAAACUGAAUGCCAUGGUAACACAGGCUAAACCUUAGAACAUGCAAGCAUGUUAAUGCAUUGUAAACCUCAGGAGAUGCUAGGGUAUUAACCUCAACCCACAAUUGUAGUGGACGAUUGUAGGAGUUUCAUCUGUUCAAUACUGAUUUGGAAGCUGAGAUCAAGUUACACAGAACAAACCUCUUCAAAAAUAAGGCAAGAAAAGGAAAGAAAAUUGAGACUUAAUUAAGUACACUCAUAUUAAACUAAAUAAACAUACACUGCUAUAACCAAUUAUCAGUUACAUAAGUAGACGGUUGGCAUAAAAUAUGUAACAGAUAUUAUUUGUUGCAAUAUAUUACAGCAAUUAAACAGUUGAUGUGCUUACUUGUGAAAGAGACAUGUGAAAACAUUCAGAUUUGUUGUAGUGUUCUAGUGCUCAAACCAUAAGGUUCAGUAUAGCAUUUAUCCAUUCAAUUCACAUUACCCAGUGGUGACAGCAUGAUAAAGUCUCACAACCCUAUGUGUACUUUAAUUUAGGCAGAAAAUCACACAGUGGCGAAGCCACGCUAUAGCUGGGUAGUCAAACAACUACACAGCAAUUUGGCACGCCAAAGACUACCACGUCUGCCUCCCCCACUGGUAAAAAACAAGUUCUAGAAACUGACUAAGACAAACCCAUUUGUUAUCUGUUUUGCCUAUGAUUUGGCUGGCCCAUAUAGCAAAGGAAAGUACACACAGACGUCCUAAUUAUAUAGCUUCCCUAAUCAGCCAAUCCUCAAAUCCUGUGAUUACUCUUACUACUACCACUUCUCUCUUUUUCACCUUCCCAUGUAAUCCCUAAAGGCCAAUGGGGGCACAACACCGGCAGGUUGGAGCACAUCAUGCACGGAUGGGCAUGUUGCACACCAAGCGCUGAUGCUGCCGGUCGCCAACCGCCCGCCGUCCGGAAACACCUCCGUGAGCAUGGCCACGUCCUCAGCCAAUCUCCAACUCUCUAUAGUAAUGUACCUCCGGAGAUAGGCGAGUGCACAAGGAGUCUAGCACAAGGUCCUUUUUCUUCUAUUUGUACGCUACAUCUUCCUCUUCCAAUUUUCUUCUCUUAUUAAGAAAUUAAGAUCUUGUCUGUUAUAGUAAAACGCUUGUUUUCCACUUGUUAGGUCUUGUAUUUGGUAAUGACACCAAUGAUAAAUGGAUAAAUUUGUCAAAAAGCUGCAUCCAAAGAUCUUGUCUGUUUAUUUUGUCUAUAAUUUUUUCAUUUAAAAAACUUGACAAUGCAAUGUUCGGAUCCUGCCACCGCCACUAAAAUAACAUACGUCAGAGCAGACAUACAUUGCCAACAAGAACAACCACUCAAAAGAAGAAGAGCAGGAGUAGAGCUGGUUACCCGUGGUGGCUGGUGUUUGGUGGAGUUCGAGGUAGAUGCACGGCCGCCGUUCCUGCUGUGCUGCUCUAUGUUGGCUGCUUGCCACCGACAGCCAAAGGGACGCGCGCGUCCGUACAUCAGAGAGAGGGACGCGAGCAACCUUUCCUCUACAGGGAUCCACGACCACAACAUUAGUUGGAGCCGGCAAAAGAACCUGGACGGGGGUCGCGGAGGAGUACGAGGCCACGACGUCGAGGAAGCCAG
rnacentral:lncRNA from 1 species